rnacentral:rRNA from 1 species
GAUGAACGCUGGCGGCGUGCCUAAUACAUGCCAGUCGAGCGAACAGACGAGGAGCUUGCUCCUCUGACGUUAGCGGCGGACGGGUGAGUAACACGUGUAUAACCUACCUAUAAGUCUGGGAUAACUUCGGGAAACCGGCGCUAAUACCGUAUAAUAUAUUGAACCGCAUGGUUCAAUGGUGAAAGACGGUUUUUCUGUCACUUCUAGAUGGAUCCGCGCCGCAUUAGCUAGUUGGUAAGGUAACGGCUUACCAAGGCAACGAUGCGUAGCCGACCUGUGAGAGGGGUAGGCCACCCGGGAGCGGGACCGCGCUCCAGAGGCCUACGGGACGGCGCAGUAGGGAAUGUGCGGCAAUAGGGGGAAGCCUGACGGAACAAGGGCGAGUGAGAGAUAAAGGCCUUCGGAUCGUAAAAAUGUGUUACGGGGUAUAAACAAAUGUGUACGUAACCGAGGCGGUAGUGACGGUAACUAAUCAGAAAGCCACGGCUAACUACGUG